AGUUCGAUAUCCAGACAUAGUGGUUAGAGCGUCCACCUCGGAUGCGGGAGGUCGUGGGUUCGAUCCCCGGUCGAGUCA